rnacentral:ncRNA from 1 species
AAGUUUCCCUCAGGAUAGCUGGCGCUCUUGCACAAACCAUGCAGUUUUAUCCGGUAAAGCAAAUGAUUAGAGGUCUUGGGACCAAAACAAUCUCAACCUAUUCUUGAACUUUAAAUGGGUAAGAAGCCCGACUGGCUGGCGUGGAGCUGGGCGUGGAAUGCAAGUGCCUAGUGAGCCACUUUUGGUAAACAGUGGCGCUGGUAAACAGAACUGGUGCUGAGGGAUGAACCGAAUGCUGGGUUAAUGAACCCAUGGGUUCAUUGGGAUAAAUGAUGUGGCAAUUGCUCAACAAAUGUUAGCUAAAUUUCACAAAUUA